UGGGGAAUAUUGGACAAUGGGCGAAAGCCUGAUCCAGCCAUGCCGCGUGUGUGAAGAAGGUCUUCGGAUUGUAAAGCACUUUAAGUUGGGAGGAAGGGCAGUAAGCGAAUACCUUGCUGUUUUGACGUUACCGACAGAAUAAGCACCGGCUAACUCUGUGCCAGCAGCCGCGGUAAUACAGAGGGUGCAAGCGUUAAUCGGAAUUACUGGGCGUAAAGCGCGCGUAGGUGGUUCGUUAAGUUGAAUGUGAAAGCCCCGGGCUCAACCUGGGAACUGCAUCCAAAACUGGCGAGCUAGGGUAGGGCAGAGGGUGGUGGAAUUUCCUGUGUAGCGGUGAAAUGCGUAGAGAUAGGAAGGAACACCAGUGGCGAAGGCGACCACCUGGGCUCAUACUGACACUGAGGUGCGAAGGCGUGGGGAGCAAACAGG
rnacentral:rRNA from 1 species